GUUUUAAUAGUUUAUACAAAACGCUAUUUUGUGGAAAUAGAGAUAUAGCUUUAUUUAAAACA
rnacentral:tRNA from 1 species